GAUGAACGCUAGCGGCAGGCCUAACACAUGCCAGUCGAGGGAGAAGCCCUUUCGGGGGCAGAAACCGGCGCACGGGUGCGUAACGCGUAUGCAACCUACCUUUCACAGGGGGAUAGCCCGAAGAAAUUUGGAUUAAUACCCCAUAAUAUUAUUGGAUGGCAUCAUUUGAUAAUUAAAACUGCGGUGGUGAAAGAUGGGCAUGCGUCCUAUUAGCUAGUUGGAGUGGUAACGGCACCCCAAGGCUACGAUAGGUAGGGGUCCUGAGAGGGAGAUCCCCCACACUGGUACUGAGACAGGGACCAGACUCCUACGGGAGGCAGCAGUGAGGAAUAUUGGUCAAUGGUCGGAAGACUGAACCAGCCAUGCCGCGUGCAGGAAGAAUGCCUUAUGGGUUGUAAACUGCUUUUAUAUGGGAAGAAUAAGGUGUACGUGUACAUUGAUGACGGUACCAUAUGAAUAAGCAUCGGCUAACUCCGUG
rnacentral:rRNA from 1 species